rnacentral:rRNA from 1 species
AUUGAACGCCGGCGGCAGGCCUAACACAUGCAAGUCGAGCGGAUGAAGGGAGCUUGCUCCUGGAUUCAGCGGCGGACGGGUGAGUAAUGCCUAGGAAUCUGCCUGGUAGUGGGGGAUAACGUCCGGAAACGGGCGCUAAUACCGCAUACGUCCUGAGGGAGAAAGUGGGGGAUCUUCGGACCUCACGCUAUCAGAUGAGCCUAGUUCGGAUUAGCUAGUUGGUGGGGUAAAGGCCUACCAAGGCGACGAUCCGUAACUGGUCUGAGAGGAUGAUCAGUCACACUGGAACUGAGACACGGUACAGACUCGUACGGGAGGCAGAAGUGGGGAAUAUUGGAAGCUGGGCGAAAGCCUGAUCCAGCCAUGCCGCGUGUGUGAAGAAGGUCUGCGGAUUGUAAAGCACUUUAAGUUGGGAGGAAGGGCAGUAAGUUAAUACCUUGCUGUUUUGACGUUACCAACAGAAUAAGCACCGGCUAACUUCGU